UACGGAAGGCAGCAGUGGGGAAUAUUGCACAAUGGGCGCAAGCCUGAUGCAGCCAUGCCGCGUGUAUGAAGAAGGCCUUCGGGUUGUAAAGUACUUUCAGUCGUGAGGAAGGUGUUAAGGUUAAUAACCUUAGCAAUUGACGUUAGCGACAGAAGAAGCACCGGCUAACUCCGUGCCAGCAGCCGCGGUAAUACGGAGGGUGCGAGCGUUAAUCGGAAUUACUGGGCGUAAAGGGCACGCAGGCGGUUAAUUAAGUUGGAUGUGAAAUCCCCGGGCUUAACCUGGGAAUGGCAUUCAAGACUGGUUAGCUAGAGUCUUGUAGAGGGGGUAGAAUUCCAUGUGUAGCGGUGAAAUGCGUAGAGAUGUGGAGGAAUACCGGUGGCGAAAGGCGGCCCCUGGACAAAGGACUGACGCUCAUGUGCGAAAGCGUGGGGAGCAAACAGGAUUAGAUACC
rnacentral:rRNA from 1 species